CAAUCAAAUAUAUUAAUUAUUAAGCAACAGCCAAUAUGUUGUGUUGGUUAUUAAAUUAUUUUAGGCGUUUAUUCUUACAGCUGGUUUGGAGAUAGCUUCGGACAAUUUAUGAGUUUGCUGCCAGCUUGCGUGAACAUGAAUAAUUUACGAAAGUUAAAAAUACUGCAAUCAUAGAGCUAGGGAGAUAUGAGAUUGAGACGUGGAAAAACACUUGGAGGAGUCUUACAAUCUAGCAUGUGUUCUUACACUUCCUCCCUAUCAGAGAAAGGAUUAUGGGAAAUUCCUGAUUAGGUUUUGACAAUUGGAGUUAUAGUCAACGAGCGGGCCUUCAAAUGGCUUAGAGAAGAGGCAGAUGCAACUCUGCAUGGUGCCCAAACCUAUAACACCAAUUUGAUUAGCCAUGUCAUCAAUCAAAAUCCCAUCCCAAACUGUACAUGCUUCUUCCAAAGCAUACGACUUUCUGGAUGUAGAUGAUAUCAUACUGCAACUUCGACAAAUAAAGGUACUAAGUUGGAUUUUUACUUUCUCUUUGUUUAAUAAAAAUAGGAGGUCGGGAUUAGUUCUAAAGGGAACUGAUAAAUACUCCAUUCAUCCCAUAGAUUCCAUAUAUGAGCCUUUUGUAUAAAAGUUGCCCCAAACCAGUCGGUCCUCUCUUUUUUGAAUACGUAAUUAUCAACAAUAUUCCAAAAUUAGCCUUUCCUGUAUGCCAUUUUCAAUGUACUCUUUCCAUAAAAUAUGGGUAGAUGUGGAAAAAUUAUAAAAAUUUAAAACUUUUCAAUGUAAAAAAUUUAUAAAAUACUAUCUAAAUUGGGAUGAAGAGAGUAUUGAUCUCGACCAGGCAAGUCCAUAUUACUUGAUAUUAUACAGGUUGAGCUCCUUAAAACAAAGCAAUAGGAAAAAUUUCAUCACCUCCAUUGGAGCAUGGUGGUUCAUUCUAUCAUGUAAAGCUUCUAGACCAGACUUGCAAAAUUCCCAGAUUGGGAAUACGGCUCGAGGAUUGUGGAUUGUCUGACAGUUUAAAAUGACCGGUAUUAUAUAGAUCAUAGAGUUUAUUGUCACAUGCAUCUUAUGCAUUUAACACUUGUCACCAGCUAAAUCAGGUGACUGACAUCACAUAUGAAAUCAAAUGAUCAUGUGUUAAAACAGAUAAAGCCAAGUUAAUAUAGAUAGUUCUUAUUUGGAAUUUGCUUGAAAUUCUGAAUGAUUUAUUGUUUAUCACAGGCUAUGAUCACUACUUGUCUAUGGUAUCGGGAAUUUGAGAUCAUCUCCUAGAAGAUCUUAUUGGAAUUAUUUGUUAAAUUUUUCAAUAAAUAUGUGGAUGUGUAUUCAUUUAAUUAUGUAUUGAAAGAGUGCUCAUAUUAUUAUGUCCUUUUAUUUCCCUUCACUUUUGACAGCUUCAAAUGAAAGUGACGGCUAUUUGUGCUGGAGUUUUUUUUGCUAAAAUCGCUUAUAUAAUUGUUCUAUGUAUGUUGUGCCCUGCAGCUAAACAGAACCAACAAAGAAGCUAUUACAUUCACGAGACCGAUGAAAUAUUAAAUGCAUGAAUGAUUAAUUUUUCUUCUUUGCUGCAUAGUGAACAAAAGCAUCUCGGAAAUAAAGAGCAAAACUACAAUCUUAAUACUAUUAUUGUAGGCCUCUUCACUCUUAAAAAAACAAAAUUAUUGCAUCUAGAGCGUUGCCCGUGCCUCG